AAUAACUAGCUGUGAAGCGAAUCAGCCCAGUUAGGGAUCCUGAAGACAGCAACAAGGCGAGGAUGUGCGUAGGGCUAUAUCUGCGUCAUCCUUAACAGGUGGUCAUGAGCAGAGUCAAGAAGCCAGGGCAGAGAGGAAGGAUCUCAGCAAACAGUUGUCCCAACCAUGAGACAAAUCCGUGAUUCACAGACCAGCGCCCUAGAAAUGCAGGAGUCUUCAUCUGCUGAUUUCCUAUUCUAUAGGAAGCAAAGCCACGGGAGAAAAUGGAUUUAAAAAUCACAUGAAGCACAUCCUUUACGGAUUUUGAUAGUGAAUAUAGUAUAUGAUGUUUUUAUACAAACAGAAGUUAAAUCGUGCUUUUAGCAACAUUCUAAGUUGACCAUGCAACCAUCAGACAGGCAUGGAGCCGUGCAGAAGAGGAGGCAGAAAGAUUGUCAGAGACAGGGGUGAUGGAGGACCAAAAAGAAGCUGUGUCUUCAGGGUACCAACAGAAUUGAUGUUGACGCCGGGCGUGGUGGCACAGGCCUCUAAUCCUAGCACUC